rnacentral:rRNA from 1 species
CCUACGGGGGGCACCAGUGGGGAAUAUUGCACAAUGGGCGCAAGCCUGAUGCAGCCAUGCCGCGUGUAUGAAGAAGGCCUUCGGGUUGUAAAGUACUUUCAGCGGGGAGGAAGGUGUCGUGGUUAAUAACCACAGCAAUUGCCGUUACCCGCGGAAGAAGCACCGGCUAACUCCGUGCCAGCAGCCGCGGUAAUACGGAGGGUGCAAGCGUUAAUCGGAAUUACUGGUCGUAAAGCGCACGCAGGCGGUCUGUCAAGUCGGAUGUGAAAUCCCCGGGCUCAACCUGGGAACUGCAUUCGAAACUGGCAGGCUAGAGUCUUGUAGAGGGGGGUAGAAUUCCAGGUGUAGCGGUGAAAUGCGUAGAGAUCUGGAGGAAUACCGGUGGCGAAGGCGGCCCCCUGGACAAAGACUGACGCUCAGGUGCGAAAGCGUGGGGAGCAAACAGGAUUAGAUACCCUUGUAGUC